ensembl:lncRNA
AUGAAGACUCCAUACGAAAGAGUGACAGUGAAGGCAAAGGUGAUUCAACUGCAAAGCCAUGGACACAAUGUUGUUCACGACAGCACAUUUCUCCAGAACACAUACUACACAAUUGCAGAUGAAAAAGCAGCAAUCGAUUUGACCGUAUGGGGUGACAGCAAAGUUACAACUGACUGCUGGUACGAGAUCUCAAAUGUUUCCAUACGCACCUUCAAAGAUAAACUGCUUUUAACUACAACCAAAGACACAAACUUCACUAUACUGAGCUGCCGAAAUCCCAUUCAUCCUGUGGAGAACACCACCACCCAAACUGUCACAGCAGACAUAAUUGGAGCAACAGUACACCUAAUUCAUAUCUGUCCACUGCAACACAAGAUCGCCAACAUGCCCUUGUCCGCUUCAAGAGUGAAUUGGCAAAAAUGUGAGAUGUUCUACAAGUCCUCUUCAGUCACCACAUACACGUAUGGAACUAUCACCGUCAAAACCACCAAAGGGGUUCAGACCCUGAACAUCGAGAACCAUAGCAUCGAGUCCAUUGUAAACAUCACACACAACUCCACUACAGACCACAUUAUAGACGCUAUACUUGCACUGCCCCCUGUCAACAUAUCCAUAUACAAAAACAACAUAACAAACAUAUCACUCCAACAAGACACCCAUUCCAUACAGACACCGAAAAUCACAAUCACACGACCUAUGGACUCGUCUCAAAGCCUCUAUGCAACCGAUCUAGAGAACCGAAUGGCUGACGACUUCCUCACUUCCACCCCAUCUACAUCAACAGCAACCACUUCAGCUUCAUCAGCCAUCAUACCACCCACAGAAUUACCAACAGUAUUAAGGUCAUUCAUAUUAAGAAAGUGUGUCUACAAGUGACCUAAAGUUUAAGCAUUUUAAAUCUAAUAUUUUAUUUUGUUAAACUUUCUUCAGAACUAAAACCAGAACCAGUUCCAACCAGGAAAAAUCACCCCAAUGAAGGAGAUUAGCCCACUUAACUACUCAAACGUCUGCUGUGAGCUUCUGGGAGGUGGUGUGCUUCGCUCCUGCUAUUUUUUCUUUUUAUUAGUAACUUUUCUGUUGCAUUUACUAUGACAUCGGUCAAAUCUACUUUAAUUUCUCAAUUGUUGUGUAACAAUAAAUGUAAUAGCAAACACCACUAAUCAUUUAGAAUAAAAAUAACUGACCAUAUUCAUAGUUGUUUUGUAAAACAGUUAUAUCACCAAAGAAGAAGAAAAUAAAACUGAUAAAAAUAAGUAAAUAAAUAUAAGUGGAUGAUUACAGAGUAUAUUAUUUUGAACUUCCAAAAGUCCAAGAUAGGUCCCCAUUUGGCUUCAAAUCUUUUUUGUGAGCCAAGCUUACCAAAAUGUAAUUGUUCCAUUUGGAUAAUAUAAAGCAUCUCGUUUAACCGUCUUUAAAAACAAGGAGCUUGUGAAGUUUUCCAAUUGAGGAGUAUUACCUUCUUGGCUGUGAUUAAGCCUACCAUUAGAGCGUGCUGAUGAGUAUGCGGGAUAGUAUCAUAACAUCAGAAUAGCUGAAAAUAGCCAGACUGUGGUCAGGUUGAAUGUUAAUUCUGUAUGCGCUUGAAAACAAUUCAAAAAUGUUAGACCAAAAAUCAUACAGAAUAGGGCAAAACCAAAAUAAAUGUGCCAAUGUCCCUUCCUCCAUCUUGGACCUAUCACACUGAGGAUAAAUGCAGGGAAAUAUUUUGUUCAAUCUAGUUUUGGAGUAAUGAAUGCGAUGCAUAACUUUGAACUGGAUUAAUUUAUAUCUCGAAUUUACAGAACAGCUCUUGUUUCUCGACAGGCCUUCUUCCCAGAUCUCAUCAGACACGUUGUCUUUCACGUCAGUAGACCUGGCUAUUUUAAGGUGUUUGUAAAAGCAUGAACAAAACGAGAUACCAAAUGUCUAGCUUCAGGAUUAGAAGAUAAAAGUUCAUGAAUAAUAUGGUUUUCAGGUUUAUUUAUAAAAUGUGGAAUAUUUUUCUUAACAUAAUUUCUAAUUUCCAAAUAACAGGAGAAGUGAGACUGUGGGAGUACAAAUGUAUUUUUAAGUUGCAAAAAGGACGCAAAUUGAUCUUCUAUAUAGAGAUCUCCUAUACAGCAUAAACCUUUUUUUCUCCAUCCUGAAAAAGCUCCAUCAAUCAGAGAAUGCUCAAACGAAGGAUUGCAUGAUAUUGGUGUAUUGAUUGAGACUUUUGGUAGUUUAUAACAAUUUUUGAUCUGAUUCAAAAUCUUCAAAGAAUUUCUCAACACAAAAUUAAUGCUGCCUAAUUUACAGAUAGAUUUACACUCUGUAAAAAGAGAAGACUCUGAGAGAAGACUCUGGUGCUGACAAAGCCUCUGCACGAACCCAUAGAGGAGAAGUCUCAG